ACGAAAGUUGCCCAAAGACAAAACGUUUGUCUAUGUUCAUACCGCUGAAUGCUGUGAAACCAGAUGAUAGCGGAUAUCGCAAGGAAUUGUUUAGAUUUACAUGCUUUAACUCUUGUGUUGGAGGAAUGAACAGACGACCAACACAUUUAUCCUUUCGACUGGAAUGUGGUUCUAGGGUU